GUGCUCCCUUCAGCAGCACACAUAUUAAAAACUAGAACAGCACAAAGAUCAGCAUGGCCCCUGUGCAAGAUGACACACAAAUUCACGAAGUAUUCCAUAUUUUU